GGGCCUUGCUCACCAACGCUUGGUCUCCCCAUGUCAUUCUUCCCUUUAACUUCCAGCUGAGUCUCCAUCUGGAGCGCGGAACCCACCACGCUUACUAAUUAUGCCUGGGAUUCUAAGACCCACUCGAGAAGGUGUCUAGCGCGAGGCACCUUCCGCUAUUCGAGAGGGCGCCUGCGGCCUACGCCUGCGUGGGGAACCCUGGGAACCUGUCCGCAGCGUCCGGAGCAUCGGCCGAACUUCGCGUCCCAGGCCUGCCCGGGGAACCCUGGGUGUGGGCAGGACGGGGACUUCACGAGGCCCCUCAGCGAGGAGCUGACCCAGGGCGGCGGGCAGUCGCUGCAUGGCCCGCCUCGAGAGUCACUGGAGGACCCCUCAGGACGGGCCCUCGGGGUCUGAUAAACAGUGAAUUUGAAGGCCCACAUUCCUAUCGAGAAUAUUCGCAUCGCUCUAAGGCCUGGAGCUUUCCUGCCUCCUUCAAUUUCUCCAGCUCCAGCCUGGAUCUGAGGCUUCCAGAAACAGCACAUUGGCAGACCUGUGGAUGUCGAAGCAAACAUUAGGAUGACAACCAAACAAACUUAUUCCUGUUGCUUUAGGAAUGGACCAAAAAUAUAUCGGAAGCAAUUAUUGGCAGAAUAUAACCUGAAUUAUCUGAAACAGCAAUCUGCAGAUCCAGAAAGCACAGCAAACCCUGAACAGGAGAAUCAAAAGGAAAGCCACCCGAGGCCCCUGGAACAAGUUGCUGAAAACCAAAGAUAAAAAAGCAGCCAGAUGCAGAAAGAGAUUUAUUCCAUGUCGGGAGCAAGGAUAAAACUCACAGAGGAUAUUUUGUCACAAAAAUAAUGAUUGGCGGCAAGAAAAUGAAGCUGAAUAAAAAGUCUGUCAAAUAGGAAUGCAUCUAGCAAAAUCAUCUUUCAAACGUUAAGGAUAAAUAAAGACACUUUAAGGGGAAUUAAAGCUGAAUGAACGUGUUCCCAGCUGAUCUGCACCCUGAGGAAUGAUGAAGGAAGUUCUUCAGGCUGAAGAGGGAUUUUAUCAGAAAGAAACGUGGUGUCCAGAAGUAAUAACAAACACUGGGAAGAGUAAAGAUGAAGAUGGAUAAAAGCAGGGUUUCCCUUUCUUCUGCCACGUUCUUCACAAGUUGACUCUUUAAGACAACAAAACACAAAACACGGUGAGAUUACCACACGAAAUGUAAGCGGAAGGGAGUAGCAGACAAGACAGGAGAGGCUGAGGGUGGCUUUAUGUCAUGAAGGUCUUCAUAUGACAGAGACGGAUGAGACUGGGUCAGAGUAAACCAUAAAAAGAUAAAGAUAAAAAUGGUGAUUUUGAGGGAAACCUCUGAAAGAUAAAUAAUAGACACAAAAAUCAACGGAGGAACAGAUUGGAUCAUGAAAAUUCACCCGUUCAAGCCAAAAUAGAAUAUAGCAAAAGAAAAAAUAGGGACCCAAAGGGGAUAAAUUGGGAAAGACUCGUAAGAUGGUACACCGAAAGCCAGCCCAGAGGGCGCUCAUGGGAAGAGGUCAGACGUCCAGGCUGUGCCCCAGCUGGGCCCAGGGCCGGGCUUGUCUCCAUCGCCAGGCGGUGGGCCAUUCUCACCGCUUGGAGACUUCAGCUGUUUCCAGCUUCUCUGUAAGCAGUAACGCUGCCCUGAAAGCUCUGUGUUUCUUUCUGCGGUCGUGCUGCGGUUCCUAAGGUACAUUUCUGAGCACACCUCUUUAUCCACACAUAUAGACAUGUGACACUGAAACGUUCUCUUCCCCUUAUGGAUAAGCCAUCAGCUCCCAGUCAGUUCACGUCUGUGGCUGAACCCUAGAAACAGUCUUUGAAGAAAUUACAAAUACAUUUUGAAACUUGAAAUAUAUUGUUGACUUCUUUUCUCUCUUAUAAUCUAUGUGUUGGAGACACUGAGACGUUGGUCUUCCAGAAGCCCCACCAGCUGGUGCUGACGACUGCAUCCCUGAUGUGUAACUUUGAAAGUAUUUUCAUCAGCUCCCAGUAUUUUCUGUAAAUUGAUCCUUAGAUCAAGAUGCUUCACCAACUUCAUGGUGUUGAUCCACGUUUUUGGUGAGGCUGUUCCCCUGGUGACACUGUGCCCCAUGACCAAGACGUAUCUAGGGUCUGGUCACCGCUUUCUCUCUCUCUCCCUCACUAACUGGCGUUAACCGUCACCACCCAGGCUCAUUAAUGUAUUAAGGGUAGCAAAGUCAUGAUAUUUUAACAUUACCAUUCUUUUCUUACUUAUUAGCUGAAAUAUUUCUACACAGAGAAACCUCCCUUUAUUUGGUUACUCUGAGGUGCAGUUUUUUUAUGAAAGGCUGGAUCAAUGCUUUAUUCUUUCUCUUUCUUUCCAUUUUCAAAAUUACGAGUUGUAUGUAUAGUAUUUCCCAAGAGUGAUCACAGAUUCCUUUGAUUUUCUUGUUGAGAACCAUCAAUAAUUCAUGGAAUUUUAUGUAAUAAUAGGUGCUUCCAUCCCUAACAGGUAUCUUUUCUGAUGCUAAAACUGUCCGGUCCUUUUCCAGGAGAAGCCUGUUGUGUUGUAUCCUGAGUGUUUUCAAGAAAGUUCAAUAAGUGAGAGCAUUUUACAGACAGGUGCACGUUCCCAGGUGCAGAAAACGUUUGCAAACUGCACGGGCACCCGGACCAGCCCAGGAGAGUGGCUCUAGCACCCCAGAAUCCCCUCCCCAAGCCCUGGAAUUCCAACCAGCUGAAUAAUUUAUAAGAAUUAGUAAACAGCAAAAUAAGGUGCUUUCCUUUCACCACGCUUCUCUCCACAGCUCAGCUCUUUGGACACGGGAAUAACAUCAGCAGUGGCGUGAGUAACACCCUGUUAGCAACAGGAGGGAAAACAAAGUAACACAGUCCUGGAUACGUCCUGGUGGGAAUUUCUAACUUCAAGAAAGUAGUCGUGAAAACUCUACACUUUUAGAAUAACACAUAGUGUUCUCCUAGUAAAAAUUACAUUGAAUCCUUAUCUCACCACUCAACCAUAAUGAACUGUUUUUACAUUAAAGAUUAAAGUGUGAAAACUAAAAUCAUAUAAGUGCCAGAAGAAAACUCGGAGACAUUUUUUUAUGACAUCAAGAUGGGAAAUGCUCCUACGCAUGACCGAAAGUGGGAUAAGACUUAGCAUUUACAAUCCUGGCAACUUACAUGCUGCAUGUCUCCAAGGAAAUGAACAAACCAGAAAAUACACAAUUCAAUAAUAAAACGACUAUAGUGCAGAGAGCCCUGCUCAGUCCUGUGCAACAACCCAAACGGGAAAAGAGUAGAUGCAUGUGCAUGCAUACCUUGGUGUGCUGUACACCAGCACCUAACUCGGUGUUGUUAAGCACCUGCACUCCACAUAAAAUAAAAUGUUAAAAAUGAUAAUAAUUAUCGAAGCUGAAAAAUGGCCCAAGAUACGUAGAAUCGUUUCACUUACUAAUAACUGAAUGGAAACGCCCUGAGGAUGCUAAAC
ensembl:lncRNA